rnacentral:lncRNA from 1 species
GUCCGCCGACCUGGUGGUUCUAGAUUUGACAGAUUUUGACGUCAUCUAGGGAUGGACUGGUUAUCUACCCAUGGUGCUACCUUGGACUGCAGAGACAAGGUAGUCAGGUUCAGAGGUCAGGAUGGAUCAGAGGUUGUCUUCAGGGGAGACAGGAGGGGUACACCUAGAGGUCUGAUAUCAGCUCUUCAGGCUCGUAGAUUGCUUAGGAAGGGA